CCUACGGGGGGCUGCAGUGGGGAAUAUUGCACAAUGGGCGCAAGCCUGAUGCAGCCAUGCCGCGUGUGUGAAGAAGGCCUUCGGGUUGUAAAGCACUUUCAGCGGGGAGGAAGGCGGUGAGGUUAAUAACCUCAUCGAUUGACGUUACCCGCAGAAGAAGCACCGGCUAACUCCGUGCCAGCAGCCGCGGUAAUACGGAGGGUGCAAGCGUUAAUCGGAAUUACUGGGCGUCAAGCGCACGCAGGCGGUCUGUCAAGUCGGAUGUGAAAUCCCCGGGCUCAACCUGGGAACUGCAUUCGGACUGGCGGGCUGGAGUGUUGUAGAGGGGGGUAGAAGUGCAGGGGUAGCGGUGAAAUGCGUAGAGAUCUGGAGGAAUACCGGUGGCGAGGGCGGCCCCCUGGACAAAGACUGACGCUCAGGUGCGAAAGCGUGGGGAGCAAACAGGAUUAGAUACACGUGGAGUC
rnacentral:rRNA from 1 species